rnacentral:lncRNA from 1 species
GCACUUGGGGGGUCUUUGAAACCUGUCAGGUUUCAUAUCUCUGCUUUGUGUGAAAAGAUCAUCACCUACAGUAGUCAGGGAUGUGCCUUUACUUACUGGUGCUCAUCUGUUGAAACUUUAUAUCUAGACAAUGGAAACAUUGAGGAGCAUUUCUGCUUUCAUGUAGCCUCUUAAUAAUUGACGCCCUAAAGCCCUGUGUCCUCAGGGAGAGUUCCUUUGAUUCCUGGGUGGUACCAGGUUUCAUGCUGUUAAAUCUGUAAAAACCUGCGCGUUAAUCUCCAUGAAUAUAAGACCUUGUUCUUUCUUAAAUGCCCCAAUUUUUUCUUCUCUUGUCUUAUAUUCUGAGCAGGAUUUCAAAUACUGUAUGUAAGGAAGUAGUGAGAGUGGGCAUCUUUAUCUUAAAAUAAAUCUUAGAAAAGAUUUCAACAUUUCACCACUGACAAUGUUAGCUAUGGGCUUGUCCUAUAGCUAAUAAAGAACGCAUCUCUUUAUUUUGAGGAAUAAAUCCAACUUGAUCAUAACAUCCAACUGUGUUGCCCAGGCUAGUCUCAAACUCCUGGAUUCAAGAGCCCCUCUCCUCUCAGCCUACGAAAGUGCUGGGAUUAAAGUCCUGAACUGACAGCCACAAGUGGCACCUGAACAGGGACUUGAACAAAGAAGGUCUGCUGGAGCAGAAAAAGUGAAACUGACCAGAUGAAUGAGAAACCCUGGGAUGAGUCUGCCUGCAGAGGAUAUAAGGAGAUGGAUAAACCGUGUGAGUGCCCUCAAGUUGUGUGCGACCAUGGAAUGGGAGACUGGAGGGAUACAUGGAUCCCAACUACAGGCCCAGCUCCUCCAGUAUGAGCCAUGAGCCAGUUGAAUCUGAAUGUGAAGAUGGAAUGAAGACCGACGAGAGUCACACUGACGUCAACCCUCAUAACAUGGGGUCAGAUCAAGAAAACCACACCAGAAGCUGAGAAACUGGUGUAGUGCCAGGGUCAGGCAAAAACCCCUGACUCCAUGUUUAUGGCCAUGCUAGCUGUAAUAUCCUGUGCAGUAUGAUUUUUCUGUGCAGAAGCAAAAACAUAUUGGGCAUAUUUUCCUAACCCACCGGUAGUGUGAUCAUACUCUGAAGCAGCACUCCUCCUGAGAUAUAUCAUGAUCAAGGAGCAUCAGUACCAGGACCUCUAACUCCCCCUGACACAGAGCAAUUAGACUCUCAUAACAAUGGUAUCAAUUAUACCACUCCAUUGGAGGGACUUCCUUUAUGUGUCACCCAGGAUACAUUGCUCAACUGCAGUUGCCUUGCAGUUUGAUCCCAAGCAUGGUUGAGUUACCAU